UACGUAGGGACCAAGCGUUGUUCGGAUUUACUGGGCGUAAAGGGCGCGUAGGCGGCGCGGUAAGUCACUUGUGAAAUCUCUGAGCUUAACUCAGAACGACCAAGUGAUACUGCAGUGCUAGAGUGUGGAAGGGGCAAUCGGAAUUCUUGGUGUAGCGGUGAAAUGCGUAGAUAUCAAGAGGAACACCUGAGGUGAAGACGGGUUGCUGGGCCAACACUGACGCUGAGGCGCGAAAGCCAGGGGAGCAAACGGG
rnacentral:rRNA from 1 species